rnacentral:tRNA from 1 species
GCCACCUUAGCUCAGUUGGAAGAGCGGCUCACUCGUAAUGAGCAGGUCGCCGGUUCGGACCCGGCAGGUGGCC